rnacentral:tRNA from 1 species
GGGAAUGUGGCUUAGUGGUGAGAGUGCUUGCCUAGCAUGCAAGAAGCUCUUGAUUCAAUUCCU